GACGAACGCUGGCGGCGUGCCUAAUACAUGCAAGUCGAACGCUUUUUCUUUCACCGGAGCUUGCUCCACCGAAAGAAAAAGAGUGGCGAACGGGUGAGUAACACGUGGGUAACCUGCCCAUCAGAAGGGGAUAACACUUGGAAACAGGUGCUAAUACCGUAUAACACUAUUUUCCGCAUGGAAGAAAGUUGAAAGGCGCUUUUGCGUCACUGAUGGAUGGACCCGCGGUGCAUUAGCUAGUUGGUGAGGUAACGGCUCACCAAGGCCACGAUGCAUAGCCGACCUGAGAGGGUGAUCGGCCACACUGGGACUGAGACACGGCCCAGACUCCUACGGGAGGCAGCAGUAGGGAAUCUUCGGCAAUGGACGAAAGUCUGACCGAGCAACGCCGCGUGAGUGAAGAAGGUUUUCGGAUCGUAAAACUCUGUUGUUAGAGAAGAACAAGGAUGAGAGUAGAACGUUCAUCCCUUGACGGUAUCUAACCAGAAAGCCACGGCUAACUACGUGCCAGCAGCCGCGGUAAUACGUAGGUGGCAAGCGUUGUC
rnacentral:rRNA from 1 species